rnacentral:siRNA from 1 species
GCCGCCCGCGACGUCGCGAGA